rnacentral:rRNA from 1 species
GACGGAGGGUGCUAGCGUUGUUCGGAAUGACUGGGCGUAAAGGGCGCGUAGGCGGCUCGUGAAGUCGGGUGUGAAAGCCCGGGGCUCAACCCCGGAACGGCAUCCGAUACUGGCGGGCUUGAGACCGGGAGAGGAGGGUGGAAUACCCAGUGUAGAGGUGAAAUUCGUAGAUAUUGGGUGGAACACCGGUGGCGAAAGCGGCUCUCUGGCCCGGAUCUGACGCUGAGGAGCGAAAGCAUGGGGAGCGAACAGG